rnacentral:rRNA from 1 species
UACGUAGGGUGCGAGCGUUAAUCGGAAUUACUGGGCGUAAAGCGUGCGUAGGUGGUUCGUUGUGUCUGUGGUGAAAGCCCCCGGGCUUAACCUGGGAAUGGCCAUGGAAACUGGCGAGCUGGAGUCUGGCAGAGGGGGGUGGAAUUCCGGCGUGUAGCAGUGAAAUGCGUAGAGAUGCGGAGGAACACCGAUGGCGAAGGCAGCCCCCUGGGCGUAAGCACGUGACGCUGAGGCACGAAAGCGUGGGGAGCAAACAGGG